rnacentral:sRNA from 1 species
ACGAAAGGAGGUAAAAACGGUAUUUUGUUUACAUUGUUUACAUCCAAUAUUUCUACGGAGCUGAAGUGAGACGACUAUAGAUUUUAGUUUCUGGAUUAUAGAAGUGUUUAUUUAGCUCAUUAUCAUGAUAACUUAGUGAGUUGUAAACAGAAAAUGUGUCACAUGCAAGCCAAAUGAAUCAACUUAAAUGAGGAUGGACACUAAAAUCUACCAUGUCUACACAAAAAUUAAAAUAUUCAUACCAGACAGAUGACAGAGACAAUGCUUGAAAUAUUUAAAUUUCGCAAAAGAAGAGGGUGAAAGUGCAAUUGAAAAAAAAACCAGACCAACAAAUACUAUAGUUGACAAGGGAUGAUUUUCUUUAGCAGAAUUUCUUUCAUCCUUGAAGAUAAACAGCUAUGUUAACCACUUUGUUCCACAGAAAAGAAGAGCUGGCUUUCAACUAAAACUGAAAAUCUUAUCAAAUAGAAUUCAAAAUUAUAUAUAAUUAUAUUUAGGGAUAUUUGGGUUAAAUACAAUGGUACAAACAAGUAUUUUCUGAACUAUUUCAAAGUAAAUGUGUGCCUGACUUAUACUCUGUCUAUUUUUGAAAAUAAGAUGUGUUCAUAUGUCAAUGCUGAUGCAUAAUGAUUUAUUACCACUUGAUCAUUUGAGUUGUUGAAUUAUUUUCAGUGAAAAUUAUUACAAUUAAUGAUGGUAAAAAUUAAAGUUGAUAUUCAU